ensembl:snoRNA SNORD42 Small nucleolar RNA SNORD42
AUGCCAAUGAUGGAAACAUGUAUUUUCCUGAGAAUACUGAUGUUGUCAAAGGAACCACUGAUGGCAU